rnacentral:tRNA from 1 species
GGAGAGCUGUCCGAGCGGUCGAAGGAGCCUGAUUCGAAAUCAGGUGUGCCCUUACGGGUACCAAGGGUUCGAAUCCCUUGCUCUCCGCCA